GCCAGGCGUGGUGGCUCAUGCCUGUAAUCCCAACAAUUUGGGAGGCCAAGGCAGGAGGAUCACUUGAGGCCAGGAGGUUGAGAUCAGCCUGGCCAAUAUGGUGAUACCCUGUCUUUA
ensembl:misc_RNA Metazoa_SRP Metazoan signal recognition particle RNA